GGCGAUGUGCUGCAUGGGAAAAAAUGCCAAAUCAACUUUUCGAAGUUGCGAGUCAGAUUUUUUGCCGUAUUAAUACGAGACACCACAUUGAACAUUUCCAAAACGUUCUUUCUUUACAAGAGAAUCACCGGCUUCCUUUUGUCGCCUUUUUCGGUAACCGUGGGGAAACGCAGUGGUGCAAAUGAGUGCUGAUAGGCUAGGCGGCAAAUUGCUUUUCACGAGCUUCUUGUUCUCCUUUCGACGUUGCCACUUGCCACUGCGUGCAGCUUCUUGUGGGUGCUGCGCUGAGGAAUCCUCUCUUGCUCUUGCCAUUCAACAAGCAUGCUGGUGAUAGUCACUGUUUGGUUUUUGCUUCUGCGAUUUUCGGGGAUCGGCGGGUGGCGAGGGGGACGCCUCGGCGCGGCAUCUUAGGGCCCAGUGCCCCCACUCUUCGUGGGGAAGCCACGCAGCCCCCACCUAACCCCUGCCAAUGCCGAACCACCUCUGGUGGUGGCAGGGGCGAGCACCUACGAGCUGGGGGGGGUCAGAGCGCUUCAUCGCCACGGAUAUCGGCGGUCGGGUCCUGGACGGCGGUGCGUCAGAGCGGGCUGCGACAGCGCACGCGUCCGUGCCACCCAUGAUGGACAGCGUGUCAGCGUGACUCGAGCUAUCCCACGCCGGGCCGUCGCACUGCCUGCUGCUGGGGAGCCUGCGCCAUCGCGAGGGAUGCACCAGGGGUGGCAACCGGCACGAUGGGAGUGACUGUGAGGCGACCUGGGAGGCGGGUGGGCGGGGUAUGAGGCAGCGGCCGUGCUCGCAGAUGACUGAGCCGGCGCACCGCCGUAGCGCGUGUGUACCGCUACUUCGCACCACGCGGGAUGGGCCUGUGGCAGGCCGGGCCGAGUGGAUUGGAGCGCAUGUUGCACGGCCGAAUAUACUGGGUAGAGAGGAGAGGACAGUGGUGUGUGCGUGUGCUCAGGAUACAAAGGCUAGUUUGUCGCAAGCCGUCUGAAAGAAGAGUGAGUAAAGCAUGAAGAGGAAGAAAUGAAGGGGAAUCGUUGUGAAGGUGUGCGAAAGGCGUUCAUGUGACGCCUUUUUGAUAUGAGGUUUACGUCCUGUGUUUAGUAAAGAGGAAAGUGUGGUUUUGUAUGACUAACUGGAUCCAAAGUUUAAUGUUGUUGUUUUUCAGCGACCGACUUGCUGUGGCAAGGCUUUUUAUCGUCACUGUCGCUCCUGUUUUAACUGUUGAUCUGUAGGACAGGUGAGGUGAGUGCCUUUGAGGUUGGACGUGCUUUGCGCGGAGCUGAACCGCACCAGAGGAGAGCGUAAAGCUGUUGGAGACGCGGUAAUGGAUAUAAGGUUUGUGCAAGGCAACAAUGUGGCUUUGUGUCGUGAUAGGUCCGCGAUCUGGUAUCUAUGGGCUGUCUUUUCACAUGUAUUCAAGUGAAAAGUCUUGCUCUCGUCGCUGUUGAAGCUGAGUCGAUGGGGCGCCGUUGUUUU
rnacentral:misc_RNA from 1 species